CGUCCCCGCUCCAACCCCCGCGCACGCGCACUUUCCUCCAGACCGGCAGCCCGUCGCUUGGAGUCAAGGCCGCGGCGAGGAUCGGUUGACGUCUAAAGCCUCAUGGUGCAUGAAGAAGCCCAGAAGCGGAGGAGGAGUCAAGAAAAGCCAUCAGGGAUGGCUCUCUCUCAGUUGGGGAUCUACUCUGUUGCUGAAGCUGGAAUGAAGUGGCAUGAUCACAGUUUACCUCAGCCUUGACCUCCUGGGCUCCAGCAAUC